UACGGAGGGUGCGAGCGUUGUCCGGAAUCACUGGGCGUAAAGGGCGCGUAGGCGGCCUGGCAAGUCGAUGGUGAAAGCCCGAGGCUCAACUUCGGGUCGGCCACUGAUACUGCUGGGCUUGAGUCGACUAGAGGCAGAUGGAAUUCCGGGUGUAGCGGUGGAAUGCGUAGAGAUCCGGAAGAACACCGGUGGCGAAGGCGACUUUCUGGUCUGUAACUGACACUGAGGCGCGAAAGCGUGGGGAGCAAACGGG
rnacentral:rRNA from 1 species